rnacentral:rRNA from 1 species
UACGUAGGGUGCGAGCGUUGUCCGGAAUUAUUGGGCGUAAAGAGCUUGUAGGCGGUCUGUCGCGUCUGCUGUGAAAAUCCGGGGCUCAACCCCGGGCUUGCAGUGGGUACGGGCAGACUAGAGUGUGGUAGGGGAGACUGGAAUUCCUGGUGUAGCGGUGAAAUGCGCAGAUAUCAGGAGGAACACCGGUGGCGAAGGCGGGUCUCUGGGCAGUAACUGACGCUGAGGAGCGAAAGCGUGGGGAGCAAACAGG